UACGAAGGGGGCUAGCGUUGUUCGGAAUUACUGGGCAUAAAGCGCACGUAGGCGGACAUUUAAGUCAGGGGUGAAAUCCCGGGGCUCAACCCCGGAACUGCCUUUGAUACUGGGUGUCUAGAGUGUGGAAGAGGUGAGUGGAAUUCCGAGUGUAGAGGUGAAAUUCGUAGAUAUUCGGAGGAACACCAGUGGCGAAGGCGGCUCACUGGUCCACUACUGACGCUGAGGUGCGAAAGCGUGGGGAGCAAACAGG
rnacentral:rRNA from 1 species